rnacentral:rRNA from 1 species
CCUACGGGUGGCAGCAGUGAGGAAUAUUGGUCAAUGGGCGAGAGCCUGAACCAGCCAAGUCGCGUGAGGGAGUACUGCCCUAUGGGUUGUAAACCUCUUUUGUCGGGGAGCAAAAGCCGGACGUGUCCGGCUGUGAGAGUACCCGAAGAAAAAGCAUCGGCUAACUCCGUGCCAGCAGCCGCGGUAAUACGGAGGAUGCGAGCGUUAUCCGGAUUUAUUGGGUUUAAAGGGUGCGCAGGCGGAUUUUUAACUCAGCGGUAAAAUCGUGGGGCUCAACCCCAUCCAGCCGUUGAAACUGGGGAUCUAGAGUGUGCGAGAGGUAUGCGGAAUGCGUGGUGUAGCGGUGAAAUGCAUAGAUAUCACGCAGAACCCCGAUUGCGAAGGCAGCAUACCGGUGCACAACUGACGCUCAGGCACGAAAGCGUGGGUAUCGAACAGGAUUAGAUACCCUAGUAGUC